CUUAGAGAAUAUGAAUAUAAAGAAAAUAUUUUGUGCAGUUGCAUGUGUUUGUGUUUUAACCUGUAUUAGUACAAAAGAGUCAAAAAGUUUCAAAAAACUAAAAAGUUUACAAAGUAAAAAAGCUACUGUAAGCUGAGGUUAGCUUAUUAUUGAAGAAAUUUCUUUUUAUAAACAUAGAGUAGCCUAAGUACACAGUGUUUAUAAAGUGUACAAUAGAGUACAGUCAUGCCGUAGGCCUUCACAUUCACUCGCCACUCACUCACUGACUCACCGAGAGCAACUUCCUCUCCUACAGGCUCCAUUCAUGGUGGAAUCUCAUUCUGUUACCGAGGCUGCAGUGCAGUGGCAUGAUCUCGGCUCACUGCAAGCUCCACCUCCCGAGUUCACGCCAUUCUCCUGCUUCAGCCCCUCGAGUAGCUGGGACUACAGGCGCCCGCCACCACACCCGGCUA
rnacentral:lncRNA from 1 species